AACGAACGCUGGCGGCAUGCCUAACACAUGCAAGUCGAACGAGACCUUCGGGUCUAGUGGCGCACGGGUGCGUAACGCGUGGGAACCUGCCCUUAGGUUUGGAAUAACUCCCCGAAAGGGGUGCUAAUACCGGAUAAUGUCUUCGGACCCAAGAUUUAUCGCCUUUGGAUGGGCCCGCGUUGGAUUAGCUGGUUAGUAGGGUAAAAGCCUACCACGGGGACGAUCCAUAGCUGGUCUGAGAGGCGGGUCAGCCACACUGGGGCUGGGACACGGCCCAGACUCCUACGGGAGGCGGCAGUGGGGAAUAUUGGACAAUGGGCGGAAGCCUGAUCCAGCAAUGCCGCGUGAGUGAUGAAAGCCUUGGGGUUGUAAAGCUCUUUUACCCGGGAUGAUAUUGACGGUACCGGGAGAAUAAGCUCCGGCUAACUCCGUG
rnacentral:rRNA from 1 species